UUAACGCACUUUAGAACAUUGAGUACAGAAGAGUCGUUCAACAAGGGAGUUCGUCCAGCGUUUUUCAUCUUGUUACAUAUCUUUAAAUGUACAAAAACUAUUCCGGUUGUAUUAGAUGCCGCAUAAAAGUCUCGGGAAUUUUGACUGAAAGAAGACCGGAACUUAUUUUGUUCAGGAUACUGACAUGAGAGUGCAGAUAAUUAUAUUCAUGCUACCAAUAUUUACUACAGAAAUGUAGUUGAGACUGAAAUAAGAUAGUGUUGAGCUUUAGAUGAUCAACGCUUUUAAUUUGAGUUUGUUACAGUGUAACCACUGUGCUACUAAGGACAAUAGAACUUUGCAAUCCUUAAAGUCAAACUGGCGAGUUAUUGACAUGACAUUUAGUCAGCAUAGGUUGCUUUCUCCAAAUAUUCACGGAAUCGAGGCGCCUGCAGACAUGGGAUCAAUCAAGACUGCUGCCUAGCCAUGUGCCGAUGCUCCUCGACUCUCACUGCUCAUUGGUCGAGAAGAGGCUGUGACGCAUGCAGUGCAUGAAUCUGCACUUAGUCCAAGCUCGCCGGCGGCAUGCAGGUCCACGUGAGACUGAAGGAGGCUGUUUUGGUGGUGUAAUAACUUACAUCUCUUCUGGCUCCGCCUCCAGCCCGGAGUCCUGUUUGAGUGACAGUUGCAGCAGCAGCUACCUGUGCUCCUCUCCGCCUCAUCCCUCACUGCCAAGCCGGGCAGUAGGAAUCAUGGUGGACAUCGCCCGCACUACAACAGCCAAGCACCCACGUAGCCAAGGCACAGAGAAGACUGGGCGAUCUACCUCCGCCAAGAGCAGCAUCACCAAGAUCAACGGCAUGGUGUUGUUGUGUAAGGUGUGCGGUGACGUGGCCUCAGGGUUCCACUAUGGCGUCCACGCCUGCGAGGGCUGUAAGGGUUUCUUCAGGAGGAGCAUCCAGCAUAGCAUCCGGUAUAAGAAGUGCCUGAAGAUGGAGAACUGCACUGUCAUAAGGAUCAACAGGAACCGCUGUCAGCAGUGCCGCUUCAAGAAGUGUCUGGCUGUGGGCAUGUCUAGAGACUCUGUUAGGUUUGGCCGCAUCCCAAAGAGAGAGAAGCAGCGCAUGCUGCUGGAGAUGCAGAACGCCAUGAACAACAUGAUGAUGAACAACAACAGCCAGCUCCGCAGUAUGCUCCACGGCACCCAGAGUCCACCCUGCCCCAUGGAAGGGCUCCCCAAUGACGGCAGCUCCUCUUCCUCUGCCUCUUCUUCCUCAUCUAUCUCGUCUUCAUCAGGCUCCAACCCUUCCUCACCCUGUUCCGUUCAAGACUCCCUGGAGACCAGCUCUAGCUCCGCCUCUUCCUGUUCGUCGGAUAGCGGUGAUGACGAGGUUCCUCCUUCCAGGGUGUGUCACCAGGGCACAUUCACGUACCGCCGUGAGCAGCAACAGGCCAUCAAAGAGGAAGCGGAGGAGUCACCUUCGCAGGUCGCCGGGGAAACUGUAAAAGACAGGAGAGACAGCCGCAUGGAGGAACUGCAGGAGAGCUGGAACCGCUGCAACGACGAUGCCAGGGGCUACCAGCCUAGUUGCAACAGUCAUCAACACGUCACCAACGUUCCCUACCGGGAAGAAAGAGUUGUUUACCAGCAGCAGCCUGCGCAGCUAAACGGCGCCCCCCAGUGGUGGCAUGCCAGAAGACUCCUGCAGCCUCCAUCACAGGAGCGACAACACAAUGCACAACGUACAGACUGUCUCCAAUGGUUACAGUGGACCAUCAUACAGCCUACAGGACCACAAGACAAACUUGGUCAUUCCUAGUCUCUAUGUGGACCCCAGCCAGCGCAGCCAGGAGAUCUGGGAGGAGUUCUCCCGGAGUUUCAUCCCGGCCGUGCGCGAGGUUGUGGGGUUUGCCAAGAGGAUCCCGGGCUUCCGAGACCUCCCCGAGUACGACCAAGUCAGCCUGCUCAAAAACGGAACGUUUGAGGUGCUUAUGGUGCGCUUUGCUUCAUUGUUUGAUGUGUCCGAGCGCACCGUGACCUUCCUGACGGGGAAGUGUUACAGCUUGGAGCUGCUGCGGGCCGGGGAGCUGCUCACCUCCAUGUGUGACUUCAGCGAGAAGCUGGCCGCUCUGCAGCUGGACAAGGAUGAGAUGAGCCUCUUCAUUGCCGUCGUCCUCGUUUCCGCCGAUCGUUCAGGGAUCCAGGACUUGAAGUCAGUGGAGGCGCUGCAGGACACGCUGAUCCGAGCGCUGCAGAGUCUGAUCAUGAAGAACCACGCCAAUGAGACUACCACAUUCACCAAGCUGCUGCUGAAGCUGCCCGAGCUGCGCUCCCUCAACAACAUACACUCUGAAGAACUGCUGGCCUUCAAAGUGCACUUGUAAUGGGAAACUCACUCCUAAUACCCUCCUUCCACACUUUGAAACCAGGACUGGCCUCGUCUGCCACUCCUAUACCAGGACCCAGGGGAGAACUUAGGGGCCUACCGUUUGCAGUCAACCAACUCAAGUGUUUUUCUCCAGAAUGUAUUGAGAAGUUCUUCUUUUGAACUAUGUUGAUAGGGACAAAGGUCAAAGAAGAGAAGAUACUGUACUCUAGUCAUAAGAAAGGGCUUGAGAACUGAGCUAUUGCUCGUGUGUGUGUGUGCGGGGCUUGUGGUUUUACCAAGUUAGAGGCACCUUUCUAUUUUUAAAGAAAAAGAUGAAGAAAUGCUAUACCAGCUUUUUGAAAUGAUGAAGUGCAGAACUACUUGGUUUGUUUGUUAAAUCCAUUUCAUUCCAAAGUGUAUUGCUCACGAGCAGUGUGAAUGUGAUGAUUAUGCUACCUAUUGGAUGUUUCAUUCGAAGCGCAAUAUCAAAAGGUCACUGUUUUCGACCCAAUAUGUUUGAUAAAAGCCCUCAAGACUCAAUGUAAACAUCUAUCUAUCAAAAAGAAUGCUUGAUGAAUCUGAUAAUUGCCGCAAUUGCAUUGGCUAUCCUUAAGUGAACAACUUGACAUUUUGCUCCCAACCCUCCGAGGAAGGACACAUUUAUUUAUUUUUGAAUUGUUCAACUGUAUUUUUAUGUUUACUGUCCUUUGUGUAGGGUAUUUCAUUUGUCUGAAUAUUUCAUUUUUGCAUGUCUUUGUUAGCUGCUACUGCCACGCCUCCUUCUGGGGAGUUGUUGAUAGUCCACUUUUUCAGCAACACAACUUUGCACAUUGUGUUGUGGACUGUCAACCUCCAAAAUCACACAUCAGCACAGACCCACAUCAUGUGUGCAACACGAUGACACUGAAGUGUUCCUUCACUGAUUCCCCACCUUCCUCACAGUGAGGAGUUACUGGGUGGUUUGGACUUUAUCUCCUGACAUUUCAGCACAGCACUGACUUUAAAACUGAUAGUUUCCCAACUAUUGUUGUUGUUGUUGUUGAACAGUCUGUAUUUGUCUCCAUUUACUGACGAGAUUGCCGUUUGUAAUGAAUAGUUAUGCUAUGUCUAUCAUAUAAAUAUAUAUGAAUAGUGUAAAUAAAUACAAGUGAAGUUA